AGCGCGCAGGUUCUCCGUCAGCUUCUUGAUCUCUUCGUCGCUGGCGCCGCGAUCGAGCGCUUCCUUCAAGGCGUCCUGCGCAGCCCUCAACGCCUUCUCGACAUCGGUGAUGUUGCCGUCUUCGAUCGCGACGGCGAGCGCCCACAGGUUAUCGACAGUCUCGCGCAUGGCCUCACGCGUACUGGCAUGGCCGAGCUGGGACGCGAUGCUGCGCAGGCCGAGAUAGUGCCCAAGCUCCGGUGUGAACGCUUCGGGGGCG
rnacentral:misc_RNA from 1 species